CACACACUAGAAGAAAGAAAGAAAGAACCGGCGGAGAAGAAGAAAAAGGGAAAGAAAAGAGGGAAGAAAAAAAGGGAAAGAAAAAAAGGAAGAAGAGAAAGAAAGGAAAGAGGUAGUUCAAGGUUCAUUUCCAUUUUUCCUCUCUUUUUAUUUUCUUCAAGAGGUAGAUAUAUUUUAUGUUAAAUUCUAGGGUUUUAUUGUGGCUCGAAAAUUUUCUGAUUUUUGAGAGGAAUAUUACUUAGAGCUCAAGUUAUUGAUUCUUGAAUUUCUAUCUACACUAAGGUAAGAAGAUAUUAAUUUUAUUUGGGCAAACCCUAGUUUUUUUAAAUUUAAUGAUUGAGCAUGGAUUAUUUGUGGAAAUGAUUACAUUAAUGAAAUUAUUCACUUGGAUGAAUGAUUUUGGGGAAUGAUAGCUAUAUUAAUUUUGUUGUAUUAUGAUUUCUCGUUUUUCACUAAAAUGAAAGGGACAAAUAUUGUUAUGAUUGUAAUGAAGUUAAAUUUGGAUGUGGUACAUGAUUGUGAAGGUAUUAGAAAGUGGAAAUUAGCUUCGAUUGAUUAAAGGAAAUUUAGGAAAAUUUCGCAAGUUUUGGGGAAUUUAGUUUAAUUAUUAUAUCAUUAGAGAUUAAAUAUUUCUUUAUUUUAAUAGUGAUUAAAUUAGUUAUUUGUAACGUAUUACAGGUGGUGACGAAGAAUUGGAAAAGCUUACCGACUAGCUUAGUCUGUAGCUCGUAUUUAGUGAAUGGAUUAAAACUUAUUUUUCAAAAAUAAGUCUUCUUUAAAUUUUAAAGUUAUUUAUUUUAUAAAGUUGACUUCAUAGCAUGAUUUUCAGAAUAAAAUGGAUUUUAUUAUUAAUUGCUUUUAAAGUUAAAUUCAGUUCAAUUAAAUUAUUUUAGUAGCAUGGUAUAUUCUUAUUACAUGUUUCAGUAUAGCUAAAGUUAUUUCUAAAAACCACCAGAAAGUACCCAUGUGAUUUUACCCCAAUUUGCACUGAUGUGAAUGUGUUUCCACAGUAUAUGACUAAUUAUAGUGAUUUUACCUGUUCUGCACUAUCGUGAAUGUGUUUCCAUAGUGUAUGACCAGAUUAUCAGAGGUCUUUGGGACCCACUCUCGUACACACAUAGGCUUUAUGCCGUGUACUAGGGUGAUUAGCCUUUGGGACAACUCUGUGUACGUAUGACCAGAUUAUCAGCUAUCAGAUUUGAAUGGCUUUACCUUGUACAUCGAAAUUACUCUGUACAUGAGUAAGGCUAUUCAUUUGGUACUCUUUUUGGGGUGAUUUUUCAGUAUUUAUUCAAUUCUCAAAUUUCAGAUUAUGAAAUUCAGUUAAUUUAGUUUUCAGAAUAAAGCUUUCAGCUUAUAGUAUUGACCAGUAGCAAUAUUUCAUAGAUUUUCAUGAAUAUCCGAUUAUUCGUUAACUUUACAUCUACUUAUCUAGAAUUACAUAAUUGAAUAGCUUUGUCAUGUCUAUCGGUGUAAACCGAUAAAUGAGUAUAGUUAUUUCGGGUACCCUUUUGGUGUGACUUUUCAGUGUUGUACAGCUUAUCAGAUUUCAGAAUGCAGAAUUUAGCUUUUCAGUUUAAAGAAUAAAGAUUUAGCUAAAAGUACUGUGAAUGAUAUUUUUAUCAUAAACCAGUUUUUAGAAUGUUAGCAUAAAUGGAAAAAGUAUUUUUAUUUACAAAAUUAUCUACUCACUGAGUUAUAGGCUCACAUUUUUUUUACAAUUUCUCUUAUUAGAUAGUAGUUGAGUGGAGCACUAUUGGGCCAGUUGAUCUAUCGAGUUAAAUUAUAAAUUGUCAAGCAUUGUAUGACUCAUCUUAUCAGUUUAAUAGCUCAUAUUUUGGAAUAGACACAUCUUUUGGUCAGAAAUUAGUUCCAUGUUUUGGGCUGCUAUGUUUUGUAUAUAUUAUGCAUUUUGGGUACUGUGGUUUAUAAAUUGUUGCAAAGGUCAAAUUGUCAGUGUUGUAUUUGAAUAGUUGAUCUUCUGUGAGCCAGUGUACCCUAUUUUAAACUAUAUGUAUCUGUUUGGGAUAUUGGAUUAUAUAUUUCAGAUGGUUUUAGUCUAUAAUUCACGGGGAACUCUGUCAAAAUUUUUACAAAGCAUAUCAUAGUAAAUACAAGUCAAUGUUGCCUUGAUGGUGGGUCCGGCACUUAACUGGUAUCUACCAUCGGCGCACGACACGUGUCGGGUCUAUUAGGAUGAUUCGGGACGGGUCGUGUCAGAAAUUGCUCGAGAGAUUUAGUCUAAGAGAAAACAUGUGGAUAAAAUCCUUGUACGAAGACCGCAAGCUCUGGGUGCCUACGUUUAUGAAAGGCAUGUCCUUUGCUGGUUUGUAUGCAGCUUCAAGAUCAGAAAUUCUGAACUCUUUCUUUGACAAAUAUAUGCAUGGGGAAACUUCUCUAAGGGAUUUUAUAGGACAAAUACAAAUCAAUUCUUGAAGACAGGUUCGAAGAGGAGGCCAAAGCAAAUUUUGAUGCAUGGCAUGAAACACCCGAGCUGAAGUCCCCUUCUCCUUUUGAGAAACAAAUGUUACUUGUAUAUACUCAUGAAAUAUUCAAAAAGUUUCAAAUUGAGGUACUGGGAGCAGCUGCAUGCCAUCUGAAAAAAGAAAAAGAAGACGGGCCAACUUUAAUUCAUGGGGUUAAAGACUUUGAAGAUAAUCAGGAUUUUAUAGUGGAAUGGAAUGAACGAAAAUCAGAUAUAUACUGUUCUUGUCGUUCAUUUGAAUAUAAAAGUUAUCUUUGUAGACAUGCCAUUGUGGUUCUCCAAAUGUUUGGCAAAUUCAGUAUACCAUUUAAGUACAUAAUGCAACAGUGGACUAAUGCUGCCACUAGUAGGCAUCCCAUAAGUGAAAAACCGGACGAGGUACAAUCUGAUGUCCGUCUUUACAAUGACCUUUGCCAACGAGCUAUAAUAUUAGGUGAAGAAGGGUCAUUGUCUUAGAAUAGUUACGGCAUUGCUGUUGCUGCCAUUAAAGAAGCUCUGCUACAAUUUGAGAACGUGAGUAACUCUUCUGAAAAUAAUUUGAGAUCGAAAAUAUCGGCAACUCUUUCCAUUCAAGGUGUUGUGGGAGUAAACCAAGGUAGCACUAUCACCAGUGGAGAGCAAAUUCCUAAUGAUGAUGUGAUCCAGACAAACAAGGGGGCCAAGAGAAUAGAUUCCGGAAAGGAACGGGUCGGUAAUGAUGGAAAUGCAAACAAGGAAGGAAAGGUUGGUUUCUUUGUUUAUUUACUUGCUCUUUUGUUUUAAAGAAAAAUUUGUUGAAUGCCAUCAUAUGUACAGCAGGUCCCUAUGGAUACACAAAUUGCAAAUGUAGGGUCCCAAGGCGUCUUUCAGCAAAUGGUUUGUCUCUUCUAAUCUUAGUCAUACUUUUAAGUUAAACUUUAAAGGGAUUUAUAGUUUUAAUUAACAGGACAUUCAUAGGAUUACUUGCAUAUACAAUCACCUCUUCUUUUUUUUUACCUGAAAAAUUAAAGCUUCUAUUAUUAUUAUUUUUUUCCAGAGUUAUUGAUUAACUUAAACCCCUCAAAAUCUUCUGACUCUAGCUUGAGUAGUGUUGGAUUUCCUUAUGGAUCCAACUGUGCCUAUUUCUGCCUGGAUCACAUUAUUAUUAUGCAUUUGUUCUCCUAUAAACAUAAAUUUCUUACACCUUCUACCUUCAAUUAGCCUCUUGCUAGGAGAACAUAAAUUUCAUAAAGUAUGCAAUUAAUCUAUGUUCAGUGUAGAUGCGUUUAUAUACUAACAGUGUUAUAGACGGAAAUGGGAAAAACAUAAAUUUCCCAUCAAUAUGUCUUUGUGUGGGCGCUAUAGAUGCAUAUACACGCAUGUGUUCAAGUAGAUUUCUUGCUUGUGUCGUGCAUGAAGUUAAAUGGAAAAAUUGUACCAUUGGUCCCUAAACUUAUUUUCCAGAAGCAAGUUGGUUCCACCUUCCAUUCUCAUUGCACAAUUAGUCCCCCAUGACAAACCUUCCAAAUAUCGGUUAAAUAGUUAUGUUAUCCUCUCCAAAUUUGUGAAGUUUCAUUUGCUUCUUCACUUUGAAAUUCAAAAAUUUUAGGCAAGACAUGUUUCCAUAAGAGCACGUUACAAUAGAUUGGGGACUACUGGAUGGACAUAUUUACCUCAAUGAGUAAGCUAUGUAUUAUGUACUACGAAUCAAGUUUUAACUUUCAUUUGUGUAGGAUAUGUCUGGUAGCCUGGAUUAUCCUACGUUGUACCCAAGGUUUCUUACAACAUUGUUAAGGUGUGGUGACAUCUCCAAGAGAAGUGUGGAAAUGCUUGACGAGAUGUUGGAGGAACAAAGAUGAAGGUGCCCUUAUUGAUCGAUCUUGGACAGGUAUUCUUGUUAUUUGUUUGAUUAUAUUUAAAUAUAAAUAUCAGUUUAACUGGCUUUCCCUGCUUCAUGAGAAAUUCAGCAUUUAAUGCUGUCUUCUUGCUUCAUGCAUUGAAGCCAACAUUAUUUUACUUUAAUGUCUUGUGCUAUGAUCACCAAAUAGUAGCUGAUUGGGGAUGCAUUCCGAGAUCUAGCUGAAAUGUUGACUUCUUAUUCAGGAACGUGUUUAGCUAAGCUUAAAAGUAAGUCAACCUUGUUUUGAUAGAUUACUUAAUUUCCUACUAAUAAUUAACAAAAGUUACUUAUCUUGACGGCAAUGUGGAGGGUUACCUUCAAAAUAAUUAACUUCUAACUUUGACCAAAGGUAAAUUCAUUAUUUUAGAACGAACUUUUUUACAUUUGACUAAAACUUUUAAGCUUAGAUGAACCUGUACAAAAUGCACGGAGUUUAUCAAAUCAUUAUUCAAAAGCAAACCUCCGUAACGUAUCUGCAAAUGGCUCAUCUUUUCCGACCUACUUCUUUUCUUUAUCACUUUGUUUCUUUAUACAUACUAAAAACAAAUACCUACCCAUCUUUUUCCUCCUUUUCCUGAACUUGAUGUCAUAUACCAUAGUGCAUUACACUCUCUUUUUACUAACACCAUUGGCCUUUCCGUCGAACAGUUUAGAAGAUGGGAUUAUCUGUUCAUUUCUGAUUAGAAGAUCAUCUUUUUUGAAGGCACUCGUAUCUGUCCAAUUCAAGCAAAUCAAGGACAAUGGACAUAUAUGAUUCUGCAAUCGAUUAUGUAAACGAUGUAAAAAUAUGAUCUGUACGGCAUUCUAUGAUGCCAAUUGUGUAGGAAGGUGGAUUGUCUAUGCUGGGAACUUCUUGUGUCUUGUCUUUCUUCGGUCGGGAUUCAGAGUGGAUAAAGCAUCAUUUUAUAGUCGUGUCACGCAACACUGAAAGACGACACUACAGGGAGUUUAUUACUGUUUUGUUUUCUCCCUGGACAGGUAGUGUAAUUUGUAAUACAACAGAAAAAAGAGAGUGAGGCAGUUGCCAAACCAAUAUGCUGUAUUGGAUAGAAUGGAGCAAUACGUUGUAUAAGAUUUUAGCUUUUUUCUUUCUCCGUCCAAUUCUCUACAAAUGCUAUCAAGGUAUUAAUUAUUGGAAUAAUUCUACAUAUACAUAACCCUAAUUAUUGUAUGAGCUUGUGAUUGAAUGAUUUAACAGUCCUUUUAGCGUGGCUUUUGAGAAGUUAAAAUGAGAUUUUGAGGUCCAAAAGCUACUUUUGGAUAAUUUUGUGAAAUCGCUUCUUUUAGUUAGAAAGGUUUUUAGAGAAAGGUGGUUCAUGUACUUUUCUCUAAAAGUACUUCCGA
rnacentral:lncRNA from 1 species